AGCCUGUUGGGAGUUUUAUAAUAGGUGUUUUCUGCCCGGUGUUUGUUUAAACGGCCGCGGUACUUUGACCGUGCAAAGGUAGCAUAAUCAUUUGUUCUUUAAUUGGGGACUGGAAUGAAGGAAAGUUUGAGGGCCCGUCUGUCUCUGUCUCGUUGUUUAGAAUUUGCUGUCCCUGUGAAGAAGCAGGGGUUAUAAAAAAAGACAAGAAGACCCUAUUAAGCUUUACUUCUUUGGCUUCCUUAUUUUCCUUUUUAAGUAUGUUAGGGGGGCUUGUGAAGUUUGGUUGGGGUGACUAGAGAAGAGUCCGAUCUUCUCUCGAAUUUUUAACUGUGGGUUUAAGUUUGACCCAGGAUUUUCUGGUUGACAGAAUUAGUUACUAUAGGGAUAACAGCGUGAUCUUUCCGGAGAGUUCUUAUUGAGGGAAGGGGUUGCGACCUCGAUGUUGACUUACUUUAUCCUUUGAAGGUGCAGAAGCCAAGAGGGUUGGUCUGUUCGACCAUUAAAAUAGU
rnacentral:rRNA from 1 species